AGAUAUAUUUAAGAAAAAAAAUCAAAUUAAGCAAAUAUCAAUGCAAAUACUUUUUGCAUUUUCUACAAUAUCAGUGUAUUCCAUUGUGCAAAAAGGUUCAGGAGAUUAAUUUCUGGCAUUUCUUUUCUUUUAAAAAAAAAAAGGACACAGAGAAAUCUAGAAUCACUUUUCACAAAUACAAAUGCUCUUGUUAAGAGUUUACAUGACCUAGCACUUGUUUCAAAAACCAUAUGAUACAUCCAAUAAAUCUUUCUUCAAGAUCACCAAAGUAACGAAGAACUUACCUAUUUUNNNUCACAAUCCCAUUCUGAUUCACAGUAAUCAACCUCAAUUCGCUUUCGCUAACUUCACAGCAGCUCAAAACCAGCAUCAUGGCCAUCAACAAAGCACAGUAACAAGAGAUCUUCUCAGCCAUUAUAGUUGAUGAAGAAAUACCCACCACCAUUUUCUUUACGAUUCCUGCUUCUUUAAUUAAUUAUCUUGGUUGUAAAAGCUUUUGCUUAAAGAUAUAGCUAUGAAUAAUGAGAGCUGUCUAUUGAGGUAUCUUGAUAGGUAAAGAAUAUUAAUUCGUGUAUGCAUAAACAAAAGAGUGCUAAAUAAGAGAAAAAAGAAAAAGGAGCAAUGUUUUCUGUAUUAGGUAGUUGAAGUGGGUGGUGUAGUUUCUGGCGGGAGUUGAGAUGGUUCCUUCAGUGUGGUAGGUAACUUUGUCAACAUAAUUCAAAAUGUUGAAAGAAGAAAGAG
rnacentral:lncRNA from 1 species